rnacentral:lncRNA from 1 species
UAAAAGUUAGGUGACGUCUAUUAAAAUGUUUGAAAUAGCCUAAUUAUGAAGUCGACAGGAAAUGAGCUUAUUCAGAUAAUUUACAGUCAGCUUACAUUGGCCAUUGCCUCCUGUAUAAAUGUCUCCUCACAGUGCUUUCUUAAAAUUAUUUGAAAUCAAUGUGAUCGUUUUCAGUGGCGGAUCCAGGGGGUCCGGGUGUUGGAACCCCCUUUAUUUGGACGAUCAAUGCAUUAGAAUGGGGACCUGUGGUUGGAACCCCCCUUUUGUCCUGGGUUGGGACCCCCUCCAUUUUUAAAAUGACUGGAUCAGCCCCUGGUUUUCAUGAUGAACACUGAGCGAAUAAUGACAAAAUAAAUGUAAUUUUAUCCACUAAACUAAGUAAAACAUAAUUAUAACUUGUCUUUGAACUCGAAAUGAUGAUCGAUGAAAAAUCUGCUGCUUCAU